UUUGGAACGAGAUGUUGGUCCGGUUCAAUAAGAAAGUAGUGCUCUGUUUAACUUGGGUUCUUCUUUUUUUAUUGAGCCGUGCCAAUAUCACGUGUUGUAUU
rfam:Cucumis melo, WGS project CAJI01000000 data, contig: 18151